AUUUGCAUAAAUAUAACAAAAUUUAAACAAAGUAUAAAGUAACAUAUUUUUAUAACACGUAAUAUACAAACAACUAAAAUUUACUUCAGUAAUAUUUCCUAUGGCAAUCAGUAUAUUAGCUGGUGAUGAUCGUAAAAAAUUCUUAAAAAUAUUAUUAAUUAAAAAAUAGUCAUUAUUUCUAGUAGAUUUAAUAUUUAUUCGAAAAUUUAAUUGUAACAACAAAUAAGGACAAUCUAUGAAAUUAUUUAAUAAUUUUUAUAAAAAUGUGUAGUGAAGGUAAUCUCUUCUUUUGUUUAAUGAUUUUAAAUUAAAAUAUGAUAAAAUACCAUUAUACUCAGUAUGUCGUGGGCGUUCAACUUUAAAUUUAAAUGAUAGAAAACCGAGAAAACAAUUUUCAACUGCUUCGAGAUUUUGAGUCUUACACAUUUUAUCUGAGAACCAAAUAAGAAAGCCAUAUUCUGUUAUCUCAGAAAUGAAAAAUAUAAAUUUCAUAAAAAAAAAUAUUUAUUAAAAUUAGAACAUGCACGUGCAAUAAAACUUAAAUAUAAGAAGGCUUUAUUUGUUAUUUUCUCAAUAUGACUGUUGAAACCUUGAAACAUAGCUUAGAGUCAAAAAUAAUACUUAAGUCGACAAAUGAUUUAACUAACUCUAUAGAGAUAUUAUUUAGUUUAUAAUCAUAAACAAUACUAGUUUUCUUGAUACUGAAAGUUAAUAUUUUGCAUUUGUUGAUGUUAAGAUAUAACCC